rnacentral:rRNA from 1 species
AGUGAACGCUGGCGGUAGGCCUAACACAUGCAAGUCGAACGGCAGCACAGUAAGAGCUUGCUCUUACGGGUGGCGAGUGGCGGACGGGUGAGGAAUACAUCGGAAUCUACUUUUUCGUGGGGGAUAACGUAGGGAAACUUACGCUAAUACCGCAUACGACCUACGGGUGAAAGCAGGGGAUCUUCGGACCUUGCGCGAUUGAAUGAGCCGAUGUCGGAUUAGCUAGUUGGCGGGGUAAAGGCCCACCAAGGCGACGAUCCGUAGCUGGUCUGAGAGGAUGAUCAGCCACACGGGAACUGAGACACGGUCCAGACUCCUACGAGAGGCAGCAGUGGGGAAUAUUGGACAAUGGGCGGAAGCCUGAUCCAGCCAUACCGCGUGGGUGAAGAAGGCCUUCGGGUUGUAAAGCCCUUUUGUUGGGAAAGAAAAGCAGCAGGUUAAUACCCCGCUGUUCUGACGGUACCCAAAGAAUAAGCACCGGCUAACUUCGUG